rfam:Ciona savignyi cont_46306, whole genome shotgun sequence.
GCCCGGUUAGCUCAGCCGGUAGAGCGUUGGACUUUUAAUCCAACGCUCAAGGCUUGAAGUACCUUAUCGGGCU